GAUCCUGGCUCAGGAUGAACGCUAGCUACAGGCUUAACACAUGCAAGUCGAGGGGCAGCGGGAAGUCAGCUUGCUGACUUUGCCGGCGACCGGCGCACGGGUGAGUAACACGUAUCCAACCUUCCCGUUACUCUGGAAUAGCCUUUCGAAAGAAAGAUUAAUACCGGAUAGUAUCGAGAGAUUGCAUGAUUACCCGAUUAAAGAUUCAUCGGUAACGGAUGGGGAUGCGGUUCCAUUAGGCAGG
rnacentral:rRNA from 1 species